rnacentral:rRNA from 1 species
AACGAACGCUGGCGGCAGGCCUAACACAUGCAAGUCGAACGCUCCGCAAGGGGAGUGGCGCACGGGUGAGUAACACGUGGGAACCUACCUUCUGGUACGGAACAACCAAGGGAAACUUUGGCUAAGACCGUAUACGACCUCCGGGUGAAAGAUUGAUCGCCGGAAGAGGGGCCCGCGUCCGAUUAGGUAGUUGGUGAGGUAACGGCUCACCAAGCCUUCGAUCGGUAGCUGGUCUGAGAGGAUGACCAGCCACACUGGGACUGAGACACGGCCCACGACUCCUACGGGAGGCAGCAGUGGGGAAGUAUUGGACAAUGGGCGCAAGCCUGAUCCAGCCAUGCCGCGUGAGUGAUGAA